ACGGCUCAGUAACACGUGGAUAACCUGCCCUUGGGUCCGGCAUAACCCCGGGAAACUGGGGAUAAUUCCGGAUAACGCACAUAUGCUGGAAUGCUUUAUGCGUAAAAUGGAUUCGUCUGCCCAAGGAUGGGUCUGCGGCCUAUCAGGUAGUAGUGGGUGUAAUGUACCUACUAGCCAACAACGGGUACGGGUUGUGAGAGCAAGAGCCCGGAGAUGGAUUCUGAGACAUGAAUCCAGGCCCUACGGGGCGCAGCAGGCGCGAAAACUUUACAAUGCGGGAAACCGUGAUAAGGGGACACCGAGUGCCAGCAUCAUAUGCUGGCUGUCCAGGUGUGUAAAAUACACCUGUUAGCAAGGGCCGGGCAAGACCGGUGCCAGCCGCCGCGGUAACACCGGCGGCCCGAGUGGUGAUCGUGAUUAUUGGGUCUAAAGGGUCCGUAGCCGGUUUGGUCAGUCCUCCGGGAAAUCUGACGGCUCAACCGUUAGGCUUUCGGGGGAUACUGCCAGGCUUGGAACCGGGAGAGGUAAGAGGUACUACAGGGGUAGGAGUGAAAUCUUGUAAUCCCUGUGAGACCACCUGUGGCGAAGGCGUCUUACCAGAACGGGUUCGACGGUGAGGGACGAAAGCUGGGGGCACGAACCGGAUUAGAUACCCGGGUAGUCCCAGCCGUAAACGAUGCUCGCUAGGUGUCAGGCAUGGCGCGACCGUGUCUGGUGCCGCAGGGAAGCCGUGAAGCGAGCCACCUGGGAAGUACGGCCGCAAGGCUGAAACUUAAAGGAAUUGGCGGGGGAG
rnacentral:rRNA from 1 species